rnacentral:tRNA from 1 species
UGCCCCGUGGUGUAAUUGGUAACACGCUUGAUUCUGGAUCAAGUAUUUCUGGUUCGAGUCCAGACGGGGCAGCCA